GACGAACGCUGGCGGCGUGCUUAACACAUGCAAGUCGAACGGAAAGGCCCUGCUUUUGUGGGCUGCUCGAGUGGCGAACGGGUGAGUAACACGUGAGUAACCUGCCCUUGACUUUGGGAUAACUUCAGGAAACUGGGGCUAAUACCGGAUAGGAGCUCCUGCUGCAUGGUGGGGGUUGGAAAGUUUCGGCGGUUGGGGAUGGACUCGCGGCUUAUCAGCUUGUUGGUGGGGUAGUGGCUUACCAAGGCUUUGACGGGUAGCCUGCCUGGGAGGGGGACCGGCCACAUUGGGACUGAGAUACGGCCCAGACUCCAACGGGAGGCAGCGGUGGAGAAUAUUAUACAAUGGGCGGAAGCCUGAUGCGGCCCCGCCGCGUGCGGGAUGACGGGCUUCGGGUUGUAAACCGCUGUCGCCUGUGACGAAGCGUUAGUGACGGUAAUGGGUGAAGAAGCACCGGCUAACUACGUG
rnacentral:rRNA from 1 species